UAUGCGCCGCGCUGCCUUGCCGGCAAGUUGUACACGUAGUGAAUAGGUUUUCAUUUCCUGACCGAUACAUGCGAGAUCAUCCGUUUCUCACGAGUCACGAAAGCGAGCGAUAGCAUUCCGCGCGAUUCGCAGAUCUCUCUCACUCCCUUCCGUCGAUCCGAGGAAACGCGCGGGCGACCGUCAACGGACGACAGCUAAUCCGGAGGAGUGAGGACUCCCACGUGUGCGCGGAAUUCGAGAGGCGCGAUCGGGUGCUCCGUGCUCCGAUCGCGAGAGGAGAACUCGCACACGCGCGCGCCUAAGCGACAGCGCGGAGGACCCGGCGAGGGUAUCGAUGAGAGAUACCAGGGGGAACGGUCUCCCAAGGGCAACGAGGGCACCAAAGGUCACCACCGUCAUCGCGAUCACGCCGUCGCGCGUCGCGUCGGCGGUCUCUGCCGAAAAUCGCGCCGCCAGCCGCCGGCCGUGCAGGCGGAGAGGAGUGUUCGCCGCGCGCGAAUCACGCCGCGAUACCGCGCCGGGCAGCCUUCGGCAGCGACGACGUAGAGCGUAGAUUCAUUCGCUCAUGCAGCGGGCCAAGUUCCUAUCAAAACAUGGCCACGUGACCCCCGGACGGCACGGCUUGUAAACACAGUUUGACCACGUGGUUCGCUUCCUCUCUCCGCCGCUCCGAGCGCCUAUCUGUUUCCCUCUCUCUCUCUCUCUCUCUUUCUAUCUCUCUCUCUCUCUCUUUCUCUCUCUCUCUCUGUCUCUUCGCUCGGCCGCACUUCGCGCGCUCCGGUCCGACUAUCUCACUCCUUCCCUCUCGCUCUUCCCCGCCGCCUCUGCUCCUCUCCUACGUCUCUCUCGCUCGCGCGCGCUCUUUCGGCACGCAGAACGGCUCCCGUCGGAAUCCUCAGUUGGUUCACCGCCGUCGACAGUCGCACGCGAGCACGGCCGCAACCGAUCCGCUUCCCGCGAACCCGGUCGUCGAACGUCGCUCGGGCACGGAGCUUCGUCUCCCCGGUCCCCGGCGCGCGUGAGCGUCGACCCGCGCCGAGUCUCGCCCGUAAACGUCGCUCGUAACCGAUCUCUCGUCCGAUCGGUUCCGGUUUCGGAUGGUGAUGUGCUGAAGAACUCCAGUGUCGGGAAAGAGUGAAGAGACAACGCCGGCGACGGCAGCAGCAGCAGCAGCAACAGGAGCAGCAGUAGCCUCAGCGACACACUGACUCGAAUCCGGCGCGAACGAAGCGCGUCUACGAGCCUUCAUUCCGAGCGGGAACGUACAAAGGCCGUUGGGCACGCGUGCUUGCACGCGCAUACACACACACACACACAUACACAUACACGCACACACGUGCAUGACUCCAGUGAUAGUGCGGCUCAAAACGCAAUCCGACGUGUCGAGCGCGCGCGAACGGAUCUUCUCGGUGCCGCCGAUCGUCGGCGGUUACCGAUCUCCGUCGGGCAGUUACGCGCACGAUCGCGAAUUUCAGCGGAGUUCGCAGGACGGCCCGGCGAACAUGAUGGAUUCGGUGCCGGUCACGGCGUCGGGGUCGAUGACCCCGUCGCAGCAGCAGCAGCAGCAGCAACAGCAACAGCAGCAGCAGGCGCAGAAAAAGGGGGUCUCGUUCGAGUUCUCGACCUCGCCGGAUCUGGAGACCGGAUUCGAGCCGCAAACCCGCGCGCGGUCCAACACAUGGCCGUUACCGCGGCCGGAAGGGUACGUGGAAGGUAACGCGCCGGCCACGAAGGAGGGUGCCGAGAGCGGUACGCCGCCGCAUCAGGGGCAACUCGCCCAGGGUCUGCUGCCGGUGAAGAAGAACUCGUCGCGGAGGAACGCCUGGGGGAACCUGAGCUACGCCGACCUCAUCACUCAGGCGAUAACCAGCGCGCCCGAUCAACGGCUGACCCUCUCGCAGAUCUACGAGUGGAUGGUCCAGAACGUGUCCUACUUCAAGGACAAGGGCGACAACAACAGCAGCGCCGGUUGGAAGAAUUCUAUACGCCACAACUUGUCGCUGCACAGCAGGUUCAUGCGAGUACAGAACGAGGGAACUGGUAAGAGUUCUUGGUGGAUGAUCAAUCGCGACGCCAAGCCGGGAAAAUCCGCCCGUCGUAGAGCUACCACUAUGGAAAGCACCGGAAGUUUAGAGAAACGACGCGGCCGUUCGAAGAAGAUAGCUGAAGCCCUGAGGAACGGCGGACUGUUAGCCGAGCCCACGUCCAGUCCCAGCAGCAGCGUUGGAGAGGGUCUAGACCUAUUCCCGGACAGUCCCUUGCCGUCCGCCAGCGGAUACCAGCUCUCCUCUGACUUCCGUCCUCGCGCUUCAAGUGCUUCUUCCUGUGGCCAACUGAGUCCUAUUCGAGCGGUUCUCGGGGAACCAGAUUGGACCUACGCUGUCAGUCCGGAACAGCAACAGCAACAACAACAGCAACAGCUAGCAGGCAACCUAGCAGAUACGAUGCUAGCAGGGAACCUAGCAGAUACGCUGCUAGCAGGCAACCUAGCCAAGACGAUGAAACUGGAACCCUACCAAAUGUACCCGACAUCAUCGCCGGCUAGUCACCAGCAGCAAACGGUCCCGCCGCCGCCUUAUUACGAUACGCAGUACCAGAGCCACCAGAGGAACAACGGCCUAUGCACUUCGUCGUCCGCGUCCUAUGGCCUGCCACCUACUCCGCAGUCGGUUAAUCAGCAAAGAUGUCCGAUUCACGGUCUGCAGUCGUGCGCCUGUCAGAUGAACCUGAGUCCCAUGUCACCAUCUGGCAUGUCACCGUCGUAUCAGCAGAGCGAGCCCAGUCCAACACUGGGCAGCAAUCAACAGCAAACGCUGCAAUACAUGAUUCAGACACAGCGUCAACAACAGCAGCAACAACAGCAGUCGCAGCAUCAGCCGGCACAAACUGGACCGGCCGGUCCUAGCCCACCCAACACGCCAACACCCUGCCCCGCCACAGCCAGCACUAUGAUGGGUCAGCUGAUGGGUGCGCUCAAUCAUUCCGCCCUCGAUGAUCUUAACAUCAACAUCGAGGCGAUGCACGGCGGCUUCCACUCCACUGUUGAUGAAGUAAUUAGGCAUGAGCUGUCGAUGGGUGGCACGCUGGACUUUAACUUCACGCAGGGAGUGAUGGGCACCGUGCAGGUCAGCGACGGCAAUGUCGUUGGCCAGAAUGGUGGCGUCGUCUCUCAGAACACGGGCGUCGUCAUCGGCACGACGACCGGCAACGCGCCGGGUGUCUACGUAAGCACGAAUGCGGCAGCCCCCGCCGCGACCCCCUCGUGGGUUCACUAGCAGUUAACCCCCCUGCCCUCAACACCCCCGUCGUCCUUGCCGAUGCCGCUGUUGUCCGACGGAUCGCUGGAUAACUUCUGCGGGAUGACCGAAGGGCAGCUCAUCGAUAUUCGGCAUGCCGAGGACGAAAGGGUGAACCGACGACUUGUGAUAAGAUAUAGACAUAAUGAUGCCAGAUCACGACGAAAUACGUACUUCAAAAAUGCCAAUUUACGCUAGUGCAAUUGUGGUGCGAGAAAUUAUCGCCGCGAGCGCGAUCAACGUCGGCGAGAGCUUCAUCAUCGCUUCAUCAAACGUCUUCAGCUUCUCUAACAAUGGGCCGUUGCUCAAAAUAGGCCGGAGAUGCAGGCGACGAUUACGAGGUUACGAGCUCUCACGGACUUAAAAAAAUGUUCGUAACGUAUGAUAUGAGUAAAUCAAAUUUUAGUAAAAUAUUGUAUAAAAUAUUGUUUCUUCCAUUAUAUAGAGUUAUUUUCCUUUGUGACUGACGAUUCACAAUUCCUUUUGACUGGCGAUUCACAAACAAAUAAUAGAAAGCAUUUGUUUCUUUUUACAGAAUAUCAGUCUGUUUUGGAUUAAUCAUACUUUACUUUCUCAUUUUCUUUGCAAAUAUUAUUUUGAUAAUUAACUCUUAAAUUCCGGACAGAGUAAUAUCAAAAGAAAUCUAACAUGAUUUAUUACAGAUUAUUAGGUUUUCACUUUUAACUAACAAUCAUGGAAUAUGAGUUUGAUAUUAUGUUUAUAUAUUUUUUAUGUAAUUUAUUUUAAUAUAUAAUGUUCAUACGGAAAAUAUUUUCUUUUAUUUUAAUAUAAAAUAUUUACAAAUUUACACAGUAUAAUUCGGAGUUUAAGGAUUAAUUUGUGCUCGAUCAUUUGCGAUUAAUUAUUAAUUGUUGCGUAAUCUUAUCUCUUUAUAUAAUGAUAAAAUAUUCAAAAUAUCCAAUAAUAUAUUGCUCAAAGAAAUUCUGCCAAUUCAUAUCCAUGUUGCAAUAGAUAUUUGAUAUUAAUGACGAUUACAUGAUGCAAACGCAUCAUCAAAUCAUCACUGAUUAUCGAGUCGAAAGAUCCCCAGAGCCGUAAUCUCGCGGGUAUCCCGAUUCACACGAAGGGCCUCCGACCUCCGACCUUCCAAAUCGAGGACUCGAACCGCCAAGACAUUAAAUCGCCAAAACGAAUAAUAUAAUUUAAGCGCGCUUAGAGCUUGGGGUAGACUUCGCUGAAAGCGACCUUGUAACAAUUCCGUGUGAUUUCUUCACAUGAUUCUUUCAAGUCCUUGGAAGCAGGGACUGAAUACCGAAAUAAUUUUAUAUCGAUAUAUUGCAUAUAUCUCUUUAUCUUAUAAAACCGCAGCACUGAACCUCUUUAAUGACCGAUAUUGAAUAAUGUCUCAAAUGUGGAUGUAAUCGAAAUUUUCCUUAUACCGGUAUAUAAUACAUAUGUGUGUAUAUAUAUAUAGAUAUAUACACACAUGAUGUAUGUAUAUAACUUUUUGAAAAUGAUGAUAUUAUAUCAGUGUUACUAUUAUAAUAUUGAAUGCCGAUAUUAUCAAAUCAAUCAGAUUUGUAGAUUCUUGAUGGUUUAUAAAAAAAGUCAUUAGAAUAUCGAUAUUUUAUAAAAAGAUUUGAGGGAAAAAAUGACGGAUAUGAGAGAGAGAGAUACGAUUAUAAUUAACCGUAAAAUUCUGAAAAUGUAUUGUUGUAACUUAUUUGGUUCCCUUAGUUUUCUUUUAUAAAAUAUGAUAUGAAAUAAUUGUACAUCUUUUAUUUAUCUUGGACUGUAGUGAGUCUUUGCAUUAUAAAAGAGAAAAGUAAAAGCUUCCAUUUCGUAUUUUAAUAAAUCGAAUAAUAUAAUAAUAAUACUAUUAUAAAUACCAUUAUAAUAUUGAAAAGUUAUAUAUUAUCGGUAUUACGUUACACUAGUAAUCAUGCCAAUUAAUUUUUACAUCUCGUUUAUAUAAAACUAAAAGAAAAUGUAACUGGUAUUUUUUAUAUUAUUUUCGAUCCCUGCUUCAAAACCUUUUUGAUUCCGCGCUCGGCGGUAUCCAAGUCAAUUUUUAAGAUAUAAGACAUUUUGGUCUGGUAAACUUAGAUUUUAACGCGGCCAUCUCGCAAAGCGCGAACCAAUCCUACAACGCGCCGCAGUUGCUAUAAUUGCAUAACUGUAUAUUUGUAAGGACACGACGGUGAGUGCGGGUAGAAGGCAAGACGGGAAAAGGACGAUGAAAAGUUAAGACUCGCCGACGUACAAUGCCGUGCGUACAACGAUCUCUGUCGUCUAUAAAAAAAAGUAACCUCAUAGUGCUCUAAGGCGCACGCUAUUGCUGCACAAUACGUCCCUUUUAAAAUUGGUAUGCGCUAUUAGUACAUUAUUUCUUGCUGGCGUUCCGAACGAAAGUACGAAUUUGUGAAAUAAUUGUGGAAAUUAAUUUUUUUCUGUUUCCUUUUUUCAAUAUGAGAUCGAUCUCAAUAGGACCAUCAAUUGCUCUAAAUAUGGCUAUCUGUCUCUAAAAUUCUGUUUUACCUCGAAUGUAAGACACAUUAGCUCAUUUACAUACAUUUAGAAACAAGCAGCCACAUUUAAACAAAAUGGGAAGAAUUAUAUAUUUUUUUGUUACGAGCGAAGCGAGAAUGAAGAAUAAUGAGUGAACUCGAAAUUUCACUUAUAGAAGAAUAAAAUCUAAAACUUUCAAGCUGCGCUGCGGAAGAGUAUCAAGCAUUAAUAGCGCAUGUUCUUUCCGAAGGACGCACUGUGCAAAGAAAUCUAAAUAUAUUACACACACACACACACACACACACACACACACACACACACA